GCCUAGUUUUUUUUUCCUGUAUAUGUGGCACUAAACUUAAUGACAUUUUGGAACCUUUUCUAGAAGAUAAUUGAGAAAGAAGAUAUCAUCUAUUGCCUUUUCAUAUAGAAGUGAUAUCAAUGAGUAUGUUGAAGUAUCAUACUGUAACUUAUACUGAAUUAACUCAAUGAAGCCUGAAGCCUAAAGCCUUAGACCCAAACUUGCUGUAAUCUUUCUUCUACUCUGCCUUAUCUUUAUCUUUACAUGGGAUAUGGAAAGAUAUAAACGUUCAGAGUUUUGUCAAAAUGCUAGGAGAUUUUCAAUAAUACAUUUUGCUUUUGUUGGUGUUCAAAUGUUCAAAGGUUGACGAGCCAUCUAUCGACUGCUGUGAGUAGUGUAUUUUUUUUGUAAUCACUCCUUUUCCCAAUUAGUACUCUAAAUGCUUUUGAGCCUGAGGGUUUUUCUUUUUAUCAAUUCACAGCACAUAUUAUGCCUUCAUCUUCUCUACCUGAUAAUAUUCUUAAAUUUACAAUGUUGUUUAUGUAAACUCUUAAUAUUAUCUCAUUUUAUUAUAUUGCUUUGAUGGUCAUUUAUGAAUAUUUUGUUCUUAAAUCUCAUUUCAAACUAUUAUUCCUGUUUAUAUUAUUUAUGGAAUCUCAUUUCUUU
rnacentral:misc_RNA from 1 species